rnacentral:rRNA from 1 species
UACGUAGGGUGCGAGCGUUGUCCGGAAUUAUUGGGCGUAAAGAGCUCGUAGGCGGUCUGUUGCGUCGGCUGUGAAAACCCGGGGCUCAACCCCGGGCCUGCAGCCGAUACGGGCAGACUAGAGUUCGGCAGGGGAGACUGGAAUUCCUGGUGUAGCGGUGAAAUGCGCAGAUAUCAGGAGGAACACCAGUGGCGAAGGCGAGUCUCUGGGAUGAUGCUGACGCUGAGGCGCGAAAGCCAGGGGAGCAAACGGG